UGCAGUCGAACGAGACCUUCGGGUCUAGUGGCGCACGGGUGAGUAACGCGUGGAAACCUACCAUUCUGUACGGAAUAACGAUUGGAAACGAUCGCUAAUACCGUAUACGCCCUGUGGGGGAAAGGUCCGCCGCAGAAUGAGGGGUCCGCGUCCGAUUAGCUUGUUGGUGGGGUAAAAGCCUACCAAGGCGAUGAUCGGUAGCUGGUCUGAGAGGAUGAUCAGCCACACUGGGACUGAGACACGGCCCAGACUCCUACGGGAGGCAGCAGUGGGGAAUAUUGGACAAUGGGGGCAACCCUGAUCCAGCAAUGCCGCGUGUGUGAAGAAGGCCUUAGGGUUGUAAAGCACUUUCAAUGGUGAAGAUGAUGACGGUAGCCGUAGAAGAAGCCCCGGCUAACUUCGUGCCAGCAGCCGCGGUAAUACGAAGGGGGCGAGCGUUGUUCGGAAUUACUGGGCGUAAAGGGCGCGCAGGCGGCCAAUCCAGUCAGGUGUGAAAGCCCCGGGCUUAACCUGGGAACUGCACUUGAUACUGAUUGGCUAGAAAACGGAAGAGGGCAGUGGAAUUCCCAGUGUAGAGGUGAAAUUCGUAGAUAUUGGGAAGAACACCAGUGGCGAAAGCGGCUGCCUGGUCCGAUUUUGACGCUGA
rnacentral:rRNA from 1 species